GAUCUCUUAAUGCACAAUAUCAGAAUUUUAUUUUUCGCCAUCUUCACCUAUUUCCUAUUGUUUCUAUUCAAUGUACGUUAAUGCAAAUUAAUUCGAAGUAAAUUAUUCUUUGUAGCCAAAUUGGACACAUACAUACGGUAUGAAAAUUUACGCAGAAGACAAGGACCCAUCACUCCAGAGUCUAGGAAAGUUGGGCAAAUGUAAUCUUUUUAUGGAAAAAUGCAAAACCUGUCAGCCAUCAACCCUAGCAGAGGGGCAAGCGCUCUUUAUCUCUAAUGUAUAAUCCUUUUAUUUGGCGUUGUUGCCAUGCCGCUAUAGCUGGUCUUUUGCUGUUCUCCUUUUCCUGUAGCCAGUUGUACUUGGUUUUCUCUAUCCUCAUAUCAAUGAAAAUGCAGCAUUGAUUAUGCUUCGUCAAGAACAUCCUCCGUUCUGAGCGCUUCAAGUAGAUCUUAGUUAAUACUCCCUCCGAUCUAUAAUAAAGUUUGAACUAAACCAGGACACUUAUUAUGGAUCAUAGGGAGUACAACAUAAUCAGAUAGAUGCUUGUUGUAUGGGUACGCCAUGUCUAACUAUAUUAUUCUAUCAGUACAUUUCAAGUGAAAAUCAAAUUUAUUGUUUUUGGAAUAUUACAUGUCUAUAUUUUAUAUAUUUGUGUGAUCUUUGAUAUGCCUUAUGUCUACACUAUAUGAGAUAACAAAAAGCAUAAGGAGCCGUGGCAACGCACGGGCAGUCAACUAGUACUGUAUAAAGAAAGGAAAUGAGCGAGCAACUCUUGAUUGACAGCCUCCAGGAGGCAAAAGUCCUCUUGUGCUCUACUACAUCGUCCUUGAGCAGUCCAUCUCCCUUUGACCGCGUCCACCCGUGCUGCGGCGUCAGACUAAAAAAAGCCCCGGCCUUGAUCAUGUAUUUCUCAGCACGAGAAAGCGCGAGUAUGCCGUGAUUUGGUCACUGCCAUGCCAUGUGUUGUCAAGUUUCACAUAGAUGGAUGGUAAGCGUUGUCAAGUUUCAUGACGCUUAAUCGCUUUCCCCGAAAA